rnacentral:misc_RNA from 1 species
AUUAAUUUCUAUACUAUCUAAUGCGAGGAGAUGCUGAUGGAGUAAAGUUGAGUUCUGAGAUUCAUCUCCCUCCUUCCCGUUUCAGCUGCUUGGAGGGUCUGAGACGACAGGUGGGUUGCAGGAGCUCUUCUUGGAUUUGGUUAGGCUUCGUUAGCCUUUCUUUAAUGGUAGCUAGAACCCUUUUGUUGUGUUUCUUUGGUUGUGAUCGUCGCCCACGGAGGAUGGCAAGGUCGGCGCUGCAAGGUGCUUCAGCUGUUAAUUUGUAAAGGGGUCCGGGUCAGCCAUAAUGGGACGAA